AGAGUUUGAUCCUGGCUCAGGAUGAACGCUAGCGGCAGGCCUAAUACAUGCAAGUCGAACGGACUGGAGUAGCAAUACUCCAGUUAGUGGCGCACGGGUGCGUAACGCGUAUGCAACCUACCUUUUAUUGGGGGAUAGCCCGAAGAAAUUCGGAUUAAUACCGCAUAAUAUCAUUUGAGGGCAUCUGAGGAUGAUUAAAGCUACGGCGAUAAAAGAUGGGCAUGCGUGUCAUUAGCUAGUUGGUUGAGGUAACGGCUCACCAAGGCGACGAUGACUAGGGGUUCUGAGAGGAUGAUCCCCCACACUGGUACUGAGAUACGGACCAGACUCCUACGGGAGGCAGCAGUAGGGAAUAUUGGGCAAUGGCGGAAACGCUGACCCAGCCAUGCCGCGUGCAGGAUGAAGGCCUUCUGGGUUGUAAACUGCUUUUAUCUAGGAAGAAAAUACUCUUGCGAGAGGAACUGACGGUACUAGAUGAAUAAGCACCGGCCAACUCCGUGCCAGCAGCCGCGGUAAUACGGAGGGUGCAAGCGUUGUCCGGAUUUAUUGGGUUUAAAGGGUGCGUAGGCGGCUUCAUAAGUCCGUGGUGAAAGCCAACAGCUCAACUGUUGAACUGCCAUGGAUACUGUGAGGCUUGAGUACAGACGAGGUAGGCGGAAUGGAUCGUGUAGCGGUGAAAUGCAUAGAUACGAUCCAGAACUCCGAUUGCGAAGGCAGCUUACUAGGCUGUAACUGACGCUGAGGCACGAAAGCGUGGGGAGCGAACAGGAUUAGAUACCCUAGUAGUCC
rnacentral:rRNA from 1 species